rnacentral:piRNA from 1 species
UCACUACUGGCUGGCUCUCAUCAGUGUUGA